rnacentral:rRNA from 1 species
UACGAAGGGGGCUAGCGUUGCUCGGAAUUACUGGGCGUAAAGCGCGCGUAGGCGGACCUGCAAGUCGGGGGUGAAAGCCCGAGGCUCAACCUCGGAACUGCCUUCGAUACUGCGGGUCUCGAGUCCGGGAGAGGUGAGUGGAAUUCCUAGUGUAGAGGUGAAAUUCGUAGAUAUUAGGAAGAACACCAGUGGCGAAGGCGGCUCACUGGCCCGGUACUGACGCUGAGGCGCGAAAGCGUGGGGAGCAAACAGG